UCUUCAUUAAACAUUACAAAACAGAGAGUACAGUUUGACAAUUUGAGGAAGAGAGGAGUAAGGGAAACGGUGAAAUAGCGGAGAAAGGUCUCUUUCUUAUGGGAGUAUGCUGAAACUCGUUUCUGAAGCGUUAUGUGUGCGAGGAGGCCAGACAAUUAGGUCUGUUCUAUGUGCGCAAAUUAGUGGCUUUCAUACUGCAAAGGUAAAAUUAUUUGUCUUGAUCUACUACUUCAUGUAGCCUUCCUAUUUUUCAUAUGUGCAUAGAUAGCUUUGGCAAGAAGGAUGAAGGAUGUUCUUGCUUCUGGCUGGUUGAGUUGAAUGGUUUUCUAGAUAAGACAUGGGAACUUUAAAUUUAAGCUAAAACAAUUGCUACUUCUGAGUUUUCUUUUUUUGUUUUAUGCAAUGGUGUGUUUAACUAUUGAGCACCAUAAAUAUAGUCUUUAGGAUUGAGUUUUGUGUAUGAAGUCAAUACGUUAUUCUGAUGGUGUACAUACUAAUGCAGAAGAGUGCAUCUUUAACUCAGAAUGCCACGAAUUGUCAUACAAAUUUCCCUCGGGUAAACCGAACCGGUGAAUUGAUAUUGGUAGGAAUGCCACGAAUUAUCUGGGAAUCAGUAUAAAGGGCAGCCCGGUGCACUAAGCUACCGCUGUGCGCGGGGUCCAGGGAAGGGCCGGACCACAAGGGUCUAUUGUACGCAGCCUUACCCUACAUUUUUGCAAGAUGUUGUUUCCCCAUCUCGAACCCGUAUCUGGGAAUCAGUAUAAUAUACUCAUUUCCAUACAAGGCUUUUAGGAAUGAACUUCAUCAUUUCAGAAUAUCAUUAUCACUCGGAGAUAAAGGCUUGAAUUAGUCUAAGAGUCAUUUGUGCUCUAGAGCCCAGACAGUAAAAAGACUUCUGCUUGCUAUCAGUUACGGACAUUGUUUCUCGUUCCAUCCCGAGUUUGUUGAUCUAGUUUGGCUUGUGAAUAUAGUCCAAGAUUAAAGGAAAUUUAAAUUGUUUUAGACUUUGAAUGAUAGAGUUAUGUACAGUUGUGCUUGAAAAAUAGUUGGACUAAAGGGGGAAUAAGUGUUGAAAGUAGUAUGACCUAACAGUUUUUAGACACUCAUUAAGACAUACUGCACUGAAAAGCUGUUCCAUAUAGUGUCAAAUAACUUUGAAAACACUGACAAAAAGAAUUCAGUCUAUGCUAGAAUCAUGUGACUGUCAAAAAGGUGAAACUGUGAAAGGUAAAUACUUGACAGUGUUGGACAGUUCUAAGUAAUAAGGAAAAUUUAGUUUCCCUCAUAGUUGCAAUAAUACCUUGGACAUAAUGGCCUUUUGAGAUAACCACCUAUUGUGUUGAGAUGAACUCUUAUUGUUGAUUUCGUCUAGAUGGUUUGAGAAAUCUAUAGUAUGCUUAUACAUACAAAUGCUUGUAUUAUGAAUGGAUGUGAUUGCUUAAUGGAAAAGAACAAGCUAAUAAAGGAAGAAGGUGUGCAUUUUAAGUGUUAACUGUAAUGUGAUAUCAUGCAAGGUUGCAGUAAACUAAUAUUCACAGUAGAUGCUAAAUUUGAAGUAUAGGCAAGUUGGAUAGGUGAAUGUUGGACUUGAGAGAAACUAGCUUGAUAAAUGGUUUAACUUUAUGUUUGUGUUAGUGUGCUAUUGUUAUUUUUUCACCUUUGCUUUUGUAUAAUGAAGCAGACAUCCGCAGCAUCAGGAUACAGGUAAGUUUGGAUCUUGUAAAAGGAAGAGAUUCUUAGAAUGGAACUAUGGAAGUACAAAUCCUUUAAUCUUUUGGCUUGGAUCUUCAUCAAACCAAAAACGUACCUAUACAUUAAAGUUCUAAGUCAAGGCCCUAGCUCAUUUCUAGCUUGGAAUGAAACUCGACGUGAUUAAGUGCCUGUGCUUCACUUAAAAAAAUAAGGAAUGACUCUUUCAUCCGAAAAGAAAUAUAUUAAUAAGGAAUAACUCUUGAUAAAGACAGAAAACAAAAAGUUGUUCACUUCAUCUAUGUAGCACAUGCUGUCAGCCCUACUCUAGGAUUUGAAGCUUGUGGGUUCAAAAUUCUAAUUCUUUUAGGUUACUGGGUUCUAAAUUAAUAAUUUGUAUAUAUUCAAUAGAUUAUUUUAGGACAAAUACAUGGUUAAGACCAAAGCUACUGGGUUCGGCGAACCCGUAGUCGAAGAGCUAGCUCCGCCCCUGGCCCUGCUUACAUGUUUGUAUACUUAUGUCAUCCUUGCCAUGGUUGCACAGUUGUGAUGUUACAAAUGUGGCCUUCCGCCUCCUAUGUUUGUAUAUGUGGGCUUGCUGUAACACUGAACACUUCCCUUUUAUUUUGUGCACUUUUGAGGAAUAAGAGGGAUGGAAAAGAGAAGUGGGGAAAAUUGUGUUCAAGUAUCAAGGGGUUUGGUGCUUUUGUGUGUUAGCACACUAUGUUGCUUUGACUCUCCGAAAAUGUGGCCGGAUACGUGUCGGAUCCUCCAAAAGUAGUGCAUUUUUGAAGGAUCUGACACGGGUGCGGCUACAUUUCGGAGAGUCCGCGCAACAUAGC